rnacentral:rRNA from 1 species
AACGAACGCUGGCGGCAUGCCUAACACAUGCCAGUCGAACGAAACCUUCGGGUCUAUUGGCGCACGGGUGCGUAACGCGUGGGAACCUUCCCUUAGGUUUGGAAUAACUCCCCGAAAGGGGUGCUAAUACCGGAUAAUGUCUUCGGACCAAAGAUUUCUCGCCUUUGGAUGGGCCCGCGUUGGAUUCGCUAGUUGGUAGGGUAAAAGCCUACCAAGGCGACGAUCCCUAGCUGGUAGGAGAGGAUGGUCAGCCACACUGGGACUGAGACACGGCCCAGACUCCUACGGGAGGGAGGAGUGGGGAAUAUUGGACAAUGGGCGAAAGCAUGAUCCAGCAAUGCCGGGUAAGUGAUGAAGGCCGUAGGGUUGUAAAGCUCUUUUACCCGGGAUGAUAAUGACAGUACCGGGAGAAUAAGCUCCGGCUAACUACGUG